rnacentral:lncRNA from 1 species
GAAAAAGCAAUACCCUUUUUGACUUCCCUACAUUGCUUCAAAAUAUAAAGCCCCACAAAGAAAUCCAUGGAAAAAAAUCACUUUUUUCUCGCCGUGAUUAUCGGCAAUUAAUCAUAUACGUAAGAAAGCUAUAUCACUAUCAGAAAAUGUUAAUGAGAAAAUAAAAAUGAAAAUUUGAAAAGAGCCCACGAAAAUAAAGCAUGAUUAAGAAAAAGGGUUUAGUUAAGUUAAGCUUACCGGUUUGAUUAUUGAAAGAUAAUUGAAAAAGUGAGUUUGAGAUCUAUGUAUGUAUGUAUCUAUGAUAAGAAAAAAACAUGACUAGUUCUUGAAAAGAUAGUAGUGUGUUGAAAAUGAGAAAGGGUUGAAUGAGUAUGUAGUGUGUUUUAUAAGAAGUGGUCUCAUACGAACGAGUAACAUACAACUGUCACCUUUGCAAGACACGGAAAAAACAGACAGAGAACGAACGAGUUUAUCUUAUAAGCAGUCAAGCACUACCGGCCAGCCAUGAUUUAAGCCUCUU